rnacentral:rRNA from 1 species
GACGAACGCUGGCGGCGUGCUUAACACAUGCAAGUCGAACGGAAAGGCCCUGCUUUUGUGGGAUGCUCGAGUGGCGAACGGGUGAGUCACCCGUGCGUAACCUGCCCUUGAGUUUGGGAUAACUUCAGGAAACUGGGGCUCAUACCGGAUAGGAGCUUCUGCUGCAGGGUGGGGGUUGGAAAGUUUCGGCGGGCGGGGUUGGACUCGCGGGUUAUCAGCUUGUUGGUGGGGUAGUGGCAUACCAAGGCUUGGACGGGUCGCCGGCCUGUGAGCGUGACCGGGCACAUGGCGACUGAGAUACGGCCCAGUCUCCUACGGUAGGCAGCAGUGGGAAACAUUGCACAAUAAGCGGACGUCUGAUGCGACAGCGCUCCGUGCGUAAUGACGGCUUUUGCGUAAUAAACCGCUUUCGCCUGUGACGAGGCGUGAGUGACGGUAACGGGUAAAGAAGCACCGGCUAACUACGUG